rnacentral:lncRNA from 1 species
AUAUAAUAUACAUGUGAAGCAGGGGCAAUAGGAACCAACAAUACCGAGCAAGUCCGUCUAUAAUCCUUGAAGCUGAUGGGCUUAAUGCAGGAAAGCGACCUCAAGUUAUGCAGGCCAUGCCAUUGUUCCUGCAAGGACGAUAAAUGUGAUGCAACGAAAUGCUGCUAUCUGGCAAAGUGUACCACGCAACGACCUCUCACUUGUGUGCUAGACUUGAUUCAGUGCGGCAGUUGUGAUAAUUGCAAGUGAUCACUGCAUGUACAUGAUGGAUUGGUGGAUGACAUCAUGACAAUAAAGAUUUCCGAAAAAACCUUUACCUUUUUUGAGUGGACAAACAGAUUUGACUUUCAGCAAUUGAGGGGGGUUAAAUUUUUAUGAGUAGUAGUUAGAUGUAUAUAAGCAAACCAUCAAAACGGUGUCGUCAAUAGUCAACACGCCCAACAAUUGACAAAAAAAAGUACUCCCGUGGCAUUAGGUACUCAAGUGCUUGUGUCUGCCAUUAGCUAGACAUAGCAAAAGAGCCCUGCGUUGCAAGAAAAAUAUCACAUUUAGCAUCGACAAUGCUUACUUCUUCUCAUCGUUUAUCAGGUCUCCCUUUUAUUUCUUGUUGUCAUUUAUUUCUUUUAUGACGCACAUCCCAUCUUUUGCCGGAUCUCUUCAGAUUUUUCUGCCAUGCGCCCUUUCUUUUAGGACACUGAUAUUUGCCGAAUGUCCCCCAUCAUUUCGUUGGGUAUGAGCGAUCCCUCCGCCCGAAUGAAAUCGUUCGGUACGAGCGAUCCCUCCGCCUAAACGGAUGGGGAUCCUCCUAGCCCGAACCCACAGUGCGACCAGUUUGCUCGGCUUUCUUCGGCUUGGCUACCUAGCCCAACCAAUAGCGUAUGAAUUUUACCAUGUAAAAAUGUUACAAUGAAUUAUUAUCUAAAACCCCUAUUUUUUGAUACAAAAAAAUAGAGAAACCAUACAAUACAGAAAAUCACCCAUUGAAUAAAUGGCAAAUGAAUGAAAACUUUGUAGGUCAAAGGCAAGUCUGUAGAAAACUACUUAUAUCAAGAAAAUAUGUACACAAAAAAUGGCAAUUUUUUUUGCAUAUAUGGCAAAUCACGAUUAUACUGUGAAAACUAGGAAAAGCUUAAGUUGCCGAUGAAAAGAAUAAAUUGCCAUGAUUAUGCAAAUAAAUUUGCCAUGGGUGCAUGAAAAACUAAAGUAGCCAUGGGUAUGAAAAUAAAAUUGCCAUCACUUUAAAAAUAAAUUUUCCAUGAUAGUAGGAAAAACAAAAUUUGUCAUUGUCCAUUAAGAAGCUAAAUUGCUGCGGAACUGAAAAUAAGUUGCCAUGGGUAUUAAAAUUAAAUUGCCAUGUCUUUGAAUAUAAAUAUGCCGUGGUCGAGCGAUUGAGUUUGCCAUGGCCUAAGAAAUUAAGCAAAUUCUCAUUGAUGGCAAUAUAGAAAUUUUUGUGACAUGGCAAUUUUUGAUUUAUUUUCUUUAGCCGAUGGAAAAUUCGGAAAAGAUAAAAACUACAUUGACAUGACAAUUAUUAAAAAAAAUCGUGUUAUGAACAUAGUUCAUUGAUAUCAUAAAUAAAUCUCUAAAUCAUUACAAACGAUCUAAAAACAAUUUAUAAAUCUUACAAUCUCUAAAUAUGUAAGGUGCCAUGGCAAACAAAAAAGAAAAAUUGCCAUGUGCCUCGUAUAUGAAUUUGCCAUGUGCUCAUGUUUGAAUUUGCCAUGCUACAAAACAAAAGCCUAAAGAAAGAAAAAUAUUAUGAAUGUGCCAUGUGACCAUAUGAGAAUUUGCCAUGUGAUUUUUUUAAUUUUCCAUGUUAUGAAGCCCAUAGGAAUAUUUACCAUAUCCAUGGCAAACAUGUAUACAAAUCUUAUGCAAAUAUCGAGGCAAUAAUUACCAGGUGUGAAAAACCUAGAAGGAGCGCACGAUUUGCCAUGGAAAAAAUCAUUGUUGGCUUAAUGUUGUGCCAUUACAAAAAAUAUUGAUUAAUAACUCUACUUGAAACUUUUUGAUAAAAGUGAUGGCAACUAUAUGUCUGCUAAAAAUUGUCAUGAUCCAUAAUGUGAAUUUUCCAUGUGCUCAUAUAUGAAUUUGCCAUGUGCUCAUGUAUGAAUUUGCCGUGCUACAAAACAAAAGCCUAAAGAAAGAAAAAUGUUAUGAAUGUGCCAUGCGACCAUAAGAGAAUUUUCCAUGUGAACAAAAAUUAAUUUGCCAUGUUAUGAAGCCUAUAGGAAUAUUUACCAUUAUCCAUGGCAAACAUGUAUAAAAAUCCUAUGCAAAAAUCGAGGCAAUAAUUAGCAUGUAUGAAAAAACCUAAAAGGAGCACACAAUUUGCCAUGGAAAAAGUUGGCGUUGGCUUGAUGUUGUGUCAUUACAGAAAAUAAUUGAUUAAUAAUUCUGCUUGAAACUUUUUGAUAAAAGUGAUGCCAACUAUAUGUUCGCUAAAAAUUGCCAUGCUCAAUAAAGUGAAUCUACCAUGUGCUCAUGAAUGAAUUUGCCGUGCUACGAAACAAAGGCCACAAGAAAGAAAAAUGUUAUGAAUGUGCCAUGUGACCAUAAGCCAAUUUGCCAUGUCAACAAGAAUUAAUUUGCCAUGUCAUGAACCCAAUAGGAAUAUUUACCAUUAUCAAUGGCAAACAUGUAUAAAAAUCCUAUUUGUCUCAAAAAAUGUAUCAAAUCCUAUGCAAAAUCAAGGCAAUAAUUGCCAUGUGUGAAAAACCUACAGUAGCGCACAAUUUAGCAUGCAAAAAUCGUCAUUGGCAAUGCAUAUUAAGAAAAUAUCAUGUUUUUUUAUCAAAUUUGCCAUGCUUUAUGAAGAAAAUUUGCCAAUAAUGUGAAACAAUACAAAAAAUGAGAAAACAUUGCCAUGGCAAAUGCAUGCUCAAUUUUGUCAUGGUGUUUUUUUUACCAAAAUCACCAUCGUGUGUGUAAUAUAAUUGUCGUAUAUGUGAAAAUAACACAAAAAAAUGAUCAAGAAAAUUGCCAUGGAAAAAUUCAUAAACAAAAUUGUUGUGUCUUUUUGUUAUCAAAAUUAGAAAUGAAAGAAAUUUUCCAAGAAUGUGAAGUAAUAGAAAAUGAUCAAAAAAUUGCCAUGGGAAAUGCAUGUUAUAUUUUGCCAUGGUAGUUUCACCAAAAUUGCCAUCUUUUGCAUAGCAAAAUUGUUGUGUAUGUGAAAUAACACAAACAAAACGAUCACACAAAUUGCCAUGGCAAAUGCAUAGUAAAAAUGACAUGGCACAUGAAGUAAUAAUGCCAUGGUCCAUAAAAAAUUAUAGAUUUGUCAUGUGCUAUGAACUAAAUUUGCCAUGAUAGUAACAUUGAAAUUGCCAUGGUGAACUAGAAAAUGAUGUCAAAAAUAGAACUAGCUAGCAAAAAGCAUAAUCCAUGAUUUGUAGUAUCGGGCAUGGUGAAUUGAAAAUGCCAUGGUGAAUUUUUGUUGGCAUGGGUAAAACAAUUUCAAUAUCACAUCGCAAAAAAGGAUCUCAAAGUAACCAUGGCAACUUUCUUUGAAUAUACAUGGCAAAGACACAUCAAAAAGUUGACAUCAUAGCAAACAUAUGCUUAGAAACAAAAAAAAAUA